rnacentral:lncRNA from 1 species
UGAGCUUUUUACUACUACUGAUUACUCUACUAUCUUAUAACUCUAGAACAUUCACAAUACUCCAUAAAAUAAGAAUCUUUUUUAAAUUUACUUUCUCUCAUAUCAAAAAAACUCCUUUCAUCAAAUAUUUGUACAAAAAAAUAAAUAAAUAAAUAAAUAAAAAAUCACAAGCGAGCCAAAACUAUCUUAAAGAGUCCUUAUAUC